rnacentral:tRNA from 1 species
UUUUUUUUAGCUUAAAUUUAGAGCAUUAGUUUGAAGGACUAAGGGUACUUAUAAAGUAGAAAAAU